rnacentral:lncRNA from 1 species
UCUCAUUUGUCUUCUUCUUCUUGCUUACUGGAAUCCAAAAUUGAUGUUGGAUCAAGUGCAGCCCUCUUGUCACCAUGAAGUAAUAAGCUUGAUAAGGCACUCACUGAGGAUGACUAAGAAGAAAUUCAAGAGGAAAUCAUUGUCUCUUGAAGAUUCCUGGACCUGUGAAUCUUGGUUAUGGGAGGAAAAGCAUCACAUACUGGACUUUGAUGAAGAGAAUGCACAGCCUUCCAGAGAAGGCAAUACCUUGCCCCAGCCCUGCAAGGUAUUCCUACCCAUCUGGAACUGUGAUGGAGUCUUCAAAAUGCCAUUGCAUUGUUCUACCAAGCCAGCGGCUUCAGGAUGAUGGCUAAUAUAGUAAGACCAGUAAAAUCCACGACCAAGGGCCCAUUGCUGCACUUCUUUCACUCUGAAGUGAGUUCCUUGUUCAGAAUCAAUCCUGUGCAGAAUAUCACGA